rnacentral:piRNA from 4 species
ACGGGAAACCUCACCCGGCCCGGACAC